GUACACGCUGUGACUAGCAUAUCAAUAAGCGGAGGAAAAGAAACUAACAAGGAUUCCCCUAGUAACGGCGAGUGAAGCGGGAAGAGCUCAAAUUUGAAAUCUUAAAGGGUUUCCCUUUACGAAUUGUAGUUUAAAGAAGUGUUUUCUGUUGAUGUUUUGGUAAAAGUUCUUUGGAAUAGGACAUCAUAGAGGGUGAGAAUCCCGUAUUUGACCUUUACUUUCAACUUUGUGAUACACUUUCAAAGAGUCGGAUUGUUUGGGAAUGCAGUCCAAAAUGGGUGGUAAAUUUCAUCUAAAGCUAAAUAUUGGCGAGAGACCGAUAGCGAACAAGUACCGUGAGGGAAAGAUGAAAAGAACUUUGAAAGAGAGUUAAACAGUACGUGAAAUUGUCAAAAGGGAAGCGUUUGACACCAGUGUUGUUUUUCUGAAAAUCAAUUAAAGAACUGUUUAUGCUAAGCUGUUUAGACUUUAUCAGCUAAUCUGUUUAGUUUUGAGCUUUUCUUUAAUGCACUUUUCAGUUAACAAGUCAACAUCAAUUUCUUUUGCUGUAAAAAAGCUUGAGGAAGGUGGCUUGAGAUUCGUCUUAAGUGUUUAUAGCCUCUUGCCUAUGCAGUCGGAGAGAUUGAGGUCUGCAGCGUAGAUCCUUCGGGGCUAAAUGCAUUUGUGCUAAGUUAUAGCAUUUUAUAGACAACUUGUUGACUAUGAUUUGUCUUGUAGCUUACUCGCUUAUGUUAUUUUACCUACGCUUAGGAUGUUGAAGAUGUAGCACAUCAU
rnacentral:rRNA from 1 species